CGCCAGACUCCUACGGGAGGCAGCAGUGGGGAAUAUUGCACAAUGGGGGAAACCCUGAUGCAGCGACGCCGCGUGAAGGAAGAAGUAUUUCGGUAUGUAAACUUCUAUCAGCAGGGAAGAAAAUGACGGUACCUGACUAAGAAGCCCCGGCUAACUACGUGCCAGCAGCCGCGGUAAUACGUAGGGGGCAAGCGUUAUCCGGAUUUACUGGGUGUAAAGGGAGCGUAGGCGGUAAUGCAAGUCAGAAGUGAAAGCCCGGGGCUCAACUCCGGGACUGCUUUUGAAACUGUGUUACUAGAGUGCAGGAGAGGUAAGUGGAAUUCCUAGUGUAGCGGUGAAAUGCGUAGAUAUUAGGAGGAACACCAGUGGCGAAGGCGGCUUACUGGGCUGUAACUGACGUUGAGGCUCGAAAGCGUGGGGAGCAAACAGGAUUAGAUACCCUCGUAUA
rnacentral:rRNA from 1 species